GGUUGGGUCCUGCGCAACGGGAUGUCGGCGAACCCGGUCAGGUCCGAGAGGAAGCAGCCGCAGUCGGUCAUUUCCGUGUGAUGCAGAGUGCCCGGUCUGC
rnacentral:SRP_RNA from 1 species